rnacentral:tRNA from 1 species
GUCUUUAUGGUUGAAUAACAACAAUGGUUUUUCGAAUCAUUAAUCUUGGUUAAAGUCCUGGUGAAGAUA